ensembl:lncRNA
UCUAUCUGGAGACCGUAGCACAGAGAAGAAACUAGCUUGGUCUAUUUUACUUAGUACCCUAACACAAACAUGAUGAGAAAAUCCAUUGCAAGGAAGAAUCCAUAUUCCUAUUAGACACAAAGCUGCUCUUACCCAUCGAUCUGCAGCUCCAGGUGCCGCUGGGGCUUGUGAGUGAGACCCUCAAAUCCGCGGCACAGCUUCUGUGUUGCUGCGGAGGCACCAGAGCAGCUGCGCCAGUGCCCCGGGGGCCGGCUGAGCCCUGCAGGCAGGCGGUGCUGCGGCUCGGUGCUCGCUGCAGCGCGCCAGGAGAGGCAGCGGGGCGGUGGGGAGCGCAGCCGUACGCCUCGGAAGGAGCCGGAGAGGAUACAGAGUUGGAGGGGUGUCGGGUUACAAGAAGCAUCCCAAAGGAGUGCUGUGUAUAAUGAGAGCCCUGACUGAAAAUGUGCAAAGCUGUUUGUCUCCCAGUCAGAGACGAAUCGGAGCGACUGCUGACAUACCGAGGUGUCACACUGAAGGGGAGUCUGCAGGCAGAGCUGGGCUGGCAAGUAUGUGGUCUCCAAGGAACUCGCUUCUUUUGGAUAGGUCGUAAAGCAGGUUAGGCUGAUUCUUAGUUAAUUUCUGGUUUUAAGUAUGUUAUUUCCUGUGAUAAAAGCAUUUACAGUGUAUUUUUAAGUGAGACAUUUAUAAAUG